AAAGGCAGAAGGGAGCUUGACUGCGAGACGGACAGGUCGAGCAGGGACGAAAGUCGGGCUUAGUGAUCCGGUGGUGUCGAGUGGAAGGGCCAUCGCUCAACGGAUAAAAGCUACCCUGGGGAUAACAGGCUAAUCUCUCCCAAGAGUCCAUAUCGACGGGGAGGUUUGGCACCUCGAUGUCGGCUCAUCACAUCCUGGGGCUGAAGUAGGUCCCAAGGAUUCGGCUGUUCGCCGAUUAAAGUGGUACGUGAGCUGGGUUC
rnacentral:rRNA from 1 species